CUCUGGGGAGACACAGCAGGAAAAACUUUUUUUCAGUGGCUUGGACUGGAGUUUGGAAAUGCUGUUCCAUCGUCUGAAAAACUAAUUUCUACCUGUUCUGAAUCGAAAACAGCCAGAUGUCUUCCACUUGCAGUUGCUGGUUUGAAUAUGUCCUCUAAUAGGAAGAGGAAUUGUGCCUUGGAGUUUGUCCAGUUGCAGCCGUAUUCCCAAGGAAAGAAAAAAAAGCUGAAAUAAUUUCUGGACAAGAAGAGAACUUCCCUGGGGAGGAGGUGAGGAAUCAUGUUACACCAAACCAGAAAGCGACUACUUAAAUAGCUCUCCUCAGUACAGUGCCGUUCUAAGCCUGUUGCCAAAGACCUGUCUAUUGGGUCCGCAUCAGCACGAGACUCCAUUACUUGGGCAUGGAAAGGCCCAUCUGAGGCAUUCUGUGUGCUAAAAAUAG